ACUAUUUUAUCUCAAGUCCAUCCUCAGGAACAGAGUAGUGACAUGCAGCAAAGCUUUUUCAACAUUUCUGGGCAAACUAAUGAUCUGAUUCAGAAAGAAAGGGAUUUAAAUCUUGGCGAUCACAAAGAUGCUGUGAGGAGUGAAACCAAUGAGAUAAGUUCUGUCCCAAUAGAAUUGAAGAGCAAAAGUCAAGUGAAGGAAGAAAAGGAACAGUUUGACUGGGAUAGUUUGCGAAUAAAUGCACAAGCUAAGGCUGGGAAAAGAGAAAAGACAGAAAGCACCAUGGAUUCUUUAGACUGGGAUGCUGUGAGAUGUGCAGAUGUCGGCGAGAUUGCUAAUACCAUCAAAGAACGGGGCAUGAACAACAGGCUUGCCGAGCGUAUUCAGGUACAAUCAAACUUCAAUGAAAUAUUAUUGAUCACUUUCUGGACAGAUAGAACCUAGUGAGGCAGCCGGUUUUACAUGAUAUAUUAUGCAGAAAUUCCUGAAUAGACUGGUUGAAGAUCAUGGAAGUAUUGACCUCGAGUGGUUGAGAGACGUUCCACCUGACCAAGCAAAGUAAGUCAAAUGGUUAAUUAAGUUAUUUAAUUAAAGUACUAUUUCUCAUAAUGCAAUUUUAGCAUGUCUUGACUGUGGUUGGUGAAACCAACAUUCUGAACUCUCAAUCCACUGGUAACACAAUCAACUAGACCUAUUUCAUGCAAGAAAAAUAUACAUAUAAAUGUGCAUAAUAAAAUUCAAUUCAUACAUACAGAGAAUAUUUGCUGAGCGUAAGAGGGCUGGGAUUGAAGAGUGUGGAGUGUGUGCGGCUUUUAACACUGCACCAUCUUGCCUUCCCAGUAAGUUGAAAACAAUGUUAUUCAAGUGCAGGAAUAUCGAAUAAAUCUAACAAGUUAUUGCCAUAUAACAGGUAGACACAAAUGUUGGACGCAUCGCAGUACGACUGGGAUGGGUACCACUCCAGCCACUGCCCGAGUCACUACAGUUGCAUCUCCUAGAAAUGUGAGUACUACAUAAAUAAAUUCUAUAAGGCGUUAUUUACUUAGAUAAGAAAAGCUAAUAUCAUUGUCCAUUGUAGGUACCCGGUGUUGGAGUCCAUACAAAAGUAUCUCUGGCCUCGACUGUGCAAGCUAGAUCAAAAAACACUGUAAAUAUUUCUUUUGAAUUUAUGUAGCAAAAGAACAAAAACACACACUAAUAUUUUAUUUGUUUUUGUAAGUUUAGCAAGGGUAAUUUACCUAUUGAUUAUUAUUUUGUAUGUUUUAUUGCAAUUGUAAUUUAUUACAGAUAUGAGCUACACUACCAGAUGAUUACCUUUGGAAAGGUAAACUGCAUUUUCUUAUGAGAGACUGAUCCUACUUAACCGAUACCCAUCAUGAUUUGAAUAUGAACUACAAUGAAUGCAGGUCUUCUGUACAAAAAGCAAACCAAAUUGUAAUGCAUGCCCAAUGAGAGCAGAAUGUCGGCACUUUGCUAGUGCAUUUGCAAGGUAUGCAAAUAAUAAUAUAAUAUAUUAAAAUUCUGAGUGGAAAAACUAUGCAGCAUCAUGUGACAUGUAGAACUCUUUUUUUCAUGCAUUAGAACUAUAGAAGGCACUGCAAGAAUUAUUCUUAGAAAUAAAGGUAGGGAACAAGAGAGACAGUAAUACUAGAAAGUUCAUAUAUCCAUAAUAGUAAAUUCAAGAAAUGGCUACUUAGGUAACAGCUGAAAAAAUUUCUCAAUGCCACACUAAAAAUCCAACAAUAUGCAUGUACUGUAAAUUAUGAUAAGAUCAAUUACAGAAGAUUUAUUGCUUGCAGUGCAAGGCUUGCCCUGCCUGGACCAGAGCAGAAGAGUAUAGUAACUGCAACUGGCAAUAGUGCGACUGAUGAGAACCCACCUGUAUUCACAACUCAGUUGCACUUGCCUCUUCCUGAGAACACAAACCAAGUAGAAGAAAUUCUGCAAACAGAAGCGAACAGACAACUGGAACCAAGAUCUGAAGUAAAUAUCUGUCAACCUAUCAUUGAAGAGCCAACAACUCCAGAGCCAGAAUGUUUGCAGGUAUCAGAAAUUGAUAUGGAGGAUGCCUUCUACGAU
rnacentral:lncRNA from 1 species